GCCCAGGUGGUUUUCUCUUCCAUCCUACCAGUGACCGGACGAGGAAGACGGCAGGAGAACUGUAUCAGAGAGACCAACUGGCGGCUUCGGCAGUGGUGUCUCAAGGCAGGCUUCGGCUUCCUGGACAAUGACCCGCACAUCACGACGAGGGACAUGCUCAGCUGGGAUGGGCUUCACCUGUCCCCCAAAGGGGGUCGAACUCGAUGAUCUAUUGAGGUCCCUUCCGACCCUAACAUCUAUGAAUCUAUGAAUCAAACAGCAGACCCUCGAUCCUGGGACUCAACCCAAGCUGUGACAAGAUAAAGUUCCCACUAAAGUCAGAGAUGUUUUGCGGAGUUUACCUGUAAUGAAAGAUCAGCUUCUGGGC